rnacentral:lncRNA from 13 species
GAUAAGGCUAUACUACUUCUGUUGUUUAAAUCCAAAGCAACAUCAAAAAGAAUUUCUCUAUGUGUGAAAUUAAGCUUAAUUAUUAAGUUCCUUAAAUUUGUUUUGUCUCCAUCAUAAUGGGUAUGGCAAGGUUUAGGAGUUGGAGGUAAGGUUUAGGAAUGGAGGGUACAUUUUCAAACAUGUUAAUUUAUUUUAAGGCUGUGGUAGGACCAUGCAUAUGCAUUAAUCUGUAAUUAGGUAGCCACAUAUUUCUAGGUAGGCAGCAAUAUACAUGAGAAUUUCCUUUUUUAUCACUAUCGCUAAGUUUCUUAGUGGCUAAGUCCUUAUUCCUUAAUAAGGUGUCAAAAUAGUGAAUUAUUAAACUUAUGAUUAUUGAACCUAGUUUGCUUGCAUUCAAAUUCCCAUGUCUCUAAUACAUCCUCAUGUUGCCAUGAGGUUACUUUCCUUAAACUUUACUUAUUGCACCUGUUUACCCUGUUGAAAACACCUUCAGAGGCUCUCAUUGCUUAAUGAAUCAUAUCCGACUCUAUAAUAGCAUUUCAGUGCUCUUCACUGUCUACCACCAUGUAUGUUUCUAAUUAUAACAGCACCCCUUGAUCCAUCCCCUUACACACCCAAAGUAUCGAAUACUCUCUCAUCUCAUAGUACCUCAAUACUUUUUCUUACUCUCACCCCUUCACAGAAUCCUGAGGCUGUCCCAUGACUCUUCACUCAUUAUGCUUCCUGAAUGCCAAGAUGCCCUGCAGAAAGACUGUGUUGUCAGAAAUUGGAGCUGAAGUUUCUCAAGGCAGCUGGCCAACCAGGUGACAGUUCUGGAUGCCAGAAUUCUUCAAUCCAGCUGUUGGCAAGACUGGUCCCUCCUGGAGGCUCUGAAGAAGAAUUUGUUCCAUGCUUUUAAGAAGUCUCUCUCCUAGCUUCUGAUGGCUACUGUGGCUGCAGAGUUCAAGUUGGGCCUUCCUUGGCUAUUUGCCAUCCCAAUGCCAAUUAGUGUACACAGAGCCUGGAUUCUUCUCCAGCCAGGAGGGGCAUGGUUACAGCCUGGCCUCAUCAUCAGAAGGUAUUUAUCGAGAGCCAGGGAAGAAGGAAGGAUCAAUGGCAUUGAACAAGAAAUGAGUGGCAGACCUCUGAAGAAAGAGAAUGGAUUCAAUGAAACUGACAAAGGGAAAAGAUGGUAGAUUCAGUAGCUGAUAAAGUGCUAGACCAGUGCCACACAGUGCCCGAAGACAUGCAGAAGCCACACAGGAGAGACUGACUCAUGAAGGGAGCAGAAAGGAAUUGCAAGGGCCCAGAUGUUUGGACUCUAACAAAUUUCCUGGUGGCUGAGGGAACUUGGAAGGAGAGAAUUCUAUGAACAACAAAGCUGCUUACUCUCCAAAAUGCCUAGGCUUGGGCAAGGUUCAUCUCCAUAGUAGUCAUUAUAGAAGCAGGGACAGAACUUGUUUUCAAGUUUCAUUACUUCAAGCCCCUAGAACUCUCAAUCUUAGAAAAGAAGAGGAAAACUCAAAAUAUUACUGAGACUGAACAUUCUACCAGCCAGGAGAGAAAAAUAAAGAGAGAAUGUUUCAUUGCCUCCA